rnacentral:rRNA from 1 species
UGGGGAAUAUUGCACAAUGGACGGAAGUCUGAUGCAGCAACGCCGCGUGCGGGAUGACGGCCUUCGGGUUGUAAACCGCUUUUUCUCAUGACGAAGUUUUUUGACGGUAGUGGGGGAAGAAGCACCGGCUAACUACGUGCCAGCAGCCGCGGUGAUACGUAGGGUGCGAGCGUUGUCCGUACUUAUUGGGCGUAAAGAGCUUGUAGGCGGUUUGUCGCGUCGAUAGUGCAAACUCAGUGCUUAACGCUGAGCCUGCUGUUGAUACGGGCAGAAUAGAGGAAGGUAGGGGAGAAUGGAAUUCCCGGUGGGGCGGUGGAAUGCGCAGAUAUCGGGAGGAACACCGGUGGCGAAGGCGGUUCUCUGGGCCUUUCCUGACGCUGAGAAGCGAAAGCGUGGGGAGCGAACAGG